UCAACCAAAUCCAAACCCUAAAUUGCGUCCCUCCCAAUUUCUUCUUCACUUUGAGGUUUUCUUGCAAGAGUUUAUAGAGAGGUGAGACCAAGUAAUUUUGGGUUACAACAGAGAAACCAAGGUAAUGAAAAAGGUGGAUAUAGAUGGGAUCUUGGGUAACCGAGAUUCGAAGCUAGGCAAACCAAGCAUACCCAGGAGACGA
rnacentral:lncRNA from 1 species